rnacentral:rRNA from 1 species
AGAGUUUGAUCAUGGCUCAGAUUGAACGCUGGCGGCAGGCCUAACACGUGCAAGUCGAGCGGUAGAGAGAAGCUUGCUUCUCUUGAGAGCGGCGGACGGGUGAGUAAUGCCUAGGAAUCUGCCUGGUAGUGGGGGAUAACGUCCGGAAACGGACGCUAAUACCGCAUACGUCCUACGGGAGAAAGCAGGGGACCUUCGGGCCUUGCGCUAUCAGAUGAGCCUAGGUCGGAUUAGCUAGUUGGUGGGGUAAUGGCUCACCAAGGCGACGAUCCGUAACUGGUCUGAGAGGAUGAUCCGCCACACUGGAACUGAGACACGGUCCAGACUCCUACGGGAGGCAGCAGUGGGGAAUUUUGGACAAUGGGCGCAAGCCUGAUCCAGCCAUGCCGCGUGAGUGAAGAAGGCCUUCGGGUUGUAAAGCUCUUUCAGCCGGGAAGAAAACGCAUGGGUUAAUACCCUGUGUGGAUGACGGUACCGGAAUAAGAAGCACCGGCUAACUACGUGCCAGCAGCCGCGGUAAUACGUAGGGUGCGAGCGUUAAUCGGAAUUACUGGGCGUAAAGCGUGCGCAGGCGGUUUGUUAAGAUAGGCGUGAAAUCCCCGGGCUCAACCUGGGAACUGCGUUUAUGACUGGCAGGCUAGAGUAUGGCAGAGGGGGGUGGAAUUCCACGUGUAGCAGUGAAAUGCGUAGAGAUGUGGAGGAACACCGAUGGCGAAGGCAGCCCCCUGGGCCAAUACUGACGCUCAUGCACGAAAGCGUGGGUAGCAAACAGGAUUAGAUACCCUGGUAGUCC